rnacentral:rRNA from 1 species
GCUACGGCAGGCUUACACAUGCAAGUCGAGGGGCAGCAUAACACUUCGGUGUUGAUGGCGACCGGCGCACGGGUGCGUAACACGUAUAGAACCUACCCAUAACAGGGGGAUAGCCCAGAGAAAUUUGGAUUAAUACCCCAUAGUGUAUUAAUGAGGCAUCUCAUUUUUAUUAAAGAUUUAUCGGUUAUGGAUGGCUAUGCGUCCUAUUAGUUCGUUGGUGAGGUAAUGGCUCACCAAGGCUACGAUAGGUAGGGGUUCUGAGAGGAAUGUCCCCCACACUGGUACUGAGACACGGACCAGACUCCUACGGGAGGCAGCAGUGAGGAAUAUUGGACAAUGGGCGCAAGCCUGAUCCAGCCAUGCCGCGUGCAGGAAGAAGGCUUUCUAGUUGUAAACUGCUUUUAUUCACGAGGAAUAUGUCCCUUGCGAGGGAUUUUGACGUUAGUGUUUGAAUAAGCACCGGCUAACUCCGUGCCAGCAGCCGCGGUAAUACGGAGGGUGCAAGCGUUAUCCGGAAUCAU